rnacentral:rRNA from 1 species
CCGUGAAAAAAUUAGAGUGUUCAAAGCAGGCAGAUCCAAUUUUCUGCCACCGAAUACAUUAGCAUGGGAUAAUGGAAUAGGACCCUGUCCUCCUAUUUUCAGUUGGUUUUGGCAGCGCGAGGACUAGGGUAAUGAUUAAUAGGGAUAGUUGGGGGCAUUAAUAUUUAAUUGUCAGAGGUGAAAUUCUUGGAUUUAUGAAAGAUUAACUUCUGCGAAAGCAUCUGCCAAGGAUGUUUUCAUUAAUCAAGAACGAAAGUUAGGGGAUCGAAGACGAUCAGAUACCGUCGUAGUCUUAACCAUAAACGAUGCCGACCAGCGAUUAGGAGACGUUGAAUACAAAACACCACCAUCGGUGCGGUCGUCCUUGGCGUUGGUCUUCAAAAGCCAGCGCGGGGGUGGCUU